AUACUCAUCUGGCAGGGGAGAUACCAUGAUCAUGAAGGUGAUUUCCCAAGGUGAAGUAUAUGCUGAUCCCUGCAAUUUCACUAAAUGUGGGAAACUCGACUGCUUAAUUUGCAGUAGUGACUGACUGCGUUCGUCCUCUCUCC
rnacentral:snRNA from 1 species